rnacentral:rRNA from 1 species
AUUGAACGCUGGCGGCAGGCCUAACACAUGCAAGUCGAACGGUAGCACAGAGAGCUUGCUCUCGGGUGACGAGUGGCGGACGGGUGAGUAACGUCUGGGAAACUGCCCGAUGGAGGGGGAUAACUACUGGAAACGGUAGCUAAUACCGCAUAACGUCGCAAGACCAAAGUGGGGGACCUUCGGGCCUCACACCAUCGGAUGUGCCCAGAUGGGAUUAGCUAGUAGGUGGGGUAAUGGCUCACCUAGGCGACGAUCCCUAGCUGGUCUGAGAGGAUGACCAGCCACACUGGAACUGGGACACGGUCCAGACUCCUACGGGAGGCAGCAGUGGGGAAUAUUGCACAAUGGGCGCAAGCCUGAUGCAGCCAUGCCGCGUGUAUGAAGAAGGCCUUCGGGCUGUAAAGUACUUUCAGCGGGGAGGAAGGCGGUGAAGUUAAUAGCUUCACCGAUUGACGUUACCCGCAGAAGAAGCACCGGCUAACUCCGUGCCAGCCGCCGCGGUAA